AUGCUCUUGCUACUUCAGUUUAAUGAUUGCAUUCGUAAUGAUCAAACAUUGCGAUAUGUUGUAGUUCUUACCUCGACCGCAUCUUUUGGCGCUUUUUCGAUUAAUUCAGGGACAAUACCAUGCCGCAUUAAUGCAUCUCUAAUCUCUGCCGGCGUCCGCAUCGGUACUUUUACUACCAUUGGCUCGCUGAAUGACAAUACAGAGAGUAUAAAGUAUAUAAUGUAAUGUAUGUUGACGAAAACUGUGAUUUCAACACCAUAAUGACCACAGUAAGUAAUUGAUUUAAGACCGUUCACUGAAUUUUACAAUGUGUUUCUAUUAAAUUUUUAAAUAUUUAAUAAAAAGGGCACCAGACAACAGUCCAUCUUAAAAAAAUAACAUUUAUUUUCUAAUCCAUACAGGGGUAAGAACCGUGUCAAGGAGAAUCAAUGACUGGGGUGUCUAGGGUCUAUUAGAGUAGCAAGAGAAUGUCCGGAAGAUGAGGGUCAAUAAAGCAUAACAUAAAAAUGAAAGAAAGAAAGAAAGAAAGAAAUAAAGAAAGAAAGAAGAAAAAAAUGGGUCAUAUGCAUAAUAAAAGAGAUUUGAAUGCUCACGCUCCAAAAAACGUGAUUUAAAAGUCGCGUGUAGGGCAGCGUGAGAGAAUGCGUCAUCGUUUGUCGUCUUUCAAAAAGCGAUUUGUUAAGUUGCAUAACGCUAGUAGCAGAGCAUUUCACGCUACUUUCAGUGACUUUUUUCGGGAGAACUGAGGCUCGAAUUUAUUUUAAAGUGUACCGCGUUUAACAGCAAGAAACCAAGCCACAUCAGCUAUCGUCAAAAACUGGACACUUAAUUUUUUACAAGAGAAUGUUUGUGCGAAUUCUUUUGAGAAUUUAAAGGAAUGCGCCUCGUACUGUGCAGAAAAUUCACAGAAAUUUGCACAAAAAUCCGCACAACCGUCUUCAUGUAAAAAAUUAAAUUUGGCAAUAGUUGAUGUCGCUUGGUUCCUUUCUGCUGAACGAGGUCCAAUUAUCACUGCGCCGUGCGCUAAACAAUUGAGUCAUUUUAUUGCAUGCAUCAAUAUAGAUUGCGGCUUUGGUUGACACUUGACGACAAUAAUGCCGGGCUAAGGAAAACGUUGUAUGAACCUCCAGACGUUGCCAAAUUUUCUUUGAUAAAACACGAAUUUCUUGGUAAACUUAUGAAUAUUUUCCUCCUAAUUUUUAGGAUAAUUUUUCUCGCAAUUUCACCUAAAGUUCCUGAAAAUUUCGAGGAAAAAUAUUCAUAACUUUAAUAAAAAGGAAUUAUAUCUAUUUUGACAUGAGCCCUGCGAUCAAUAAGAAUACUUGCAUAAUGGGGGUCACUUCAUAUUAGAUAAAGUUCCUUUUGAUUUAAAUACGUCCAUUUGUAGUACAGGUGAUACGAUGGUCAUGAGCACGGUAUAUAGUGACGCGACGUGUCGCAGAUUAAUAUAUCACGGUAAAUUGUGCUUUACAAAAUAUCACGCUCAAAAAGUCAAAUGGAGAGUGCUUCUUUUCUGAUUUAAUUCUUAUAUUUAUUUAAAAAAAUAAUUUACAACAAAUUAGAUUGUCAGCGGAGAUCCUUACUUAAAAUAUCUUUUGCGAGAAAUGAUUACAUCUUUCCAUGUGUUGCUAUGGAGCGCACGUACCGCUUGAAGCACCGCUAUAAAUAAGACAAACGGAAACAAAAUCAUCAUGGAGGUAGAGAAAGGAUGCGCGUUGAUGACGGCGCAGAGAUACGACUAUUCGUACUUGAUGGAUGUCCGUGCUGCAUUCGGAAAAUUGAAGGCGUGUCAACUCGUAAGCUGCCAAUGAGGUGUCGCUUGGGUUCAGAAGAGAAGUUAAAAAACGAGGCUGAAUUACGUCUCUCGUAUCUUCGGCUGUGUUGAAAGUGUUUUUUCUUCCUUCCUUUAAUCUAAUGUCCGGUUCUUUUAUUACGACGUAUUUGAUGACCUAUGUCUAAAGCUCGUAUUCACGCAAUAUACAAAAUGCUGGGGGCCGGGAUUUUAGCAAGCAGUGUGUGGGCUCGGGCAUCUAAGGGCAAAUUCACUUAGCCAUUUAACUUCCUAGGAAAACUUCACCACACUCUUUACUUCAUCUCAAAAUACAGAAAUUAAUUUUGUGCCCAAUUUUACUUGCGUAAAUAUGUUUUUUUGGAACGCAGAAAGUUUACAUUGACGGACAAAGAAAAUAAAAAAUUCUUAGUUUGAGUUGAAUGGAAACAUUGGUCUCCAUCGUCCUGUAAGUGAAAUUUGUCGAGAUAAUGGGAACUGUGAUGAUAAAUUCCUCAUCCUGUUCGGAUAUAGUCAAUUGUUAUACGUAAUAAGUUACAAAAAAAUGUUUACAAUGUUCAUCAAAAUAAUGUCUUUAUUUUGUUUUCAAAGUUUACAAGAGGCCUAGAAAUAAAGUAAAAACACUACAAAGUAUGUACAAAAACUUGUGAAAAAGUAACAAUUUUCUACAUGAAACGCAUGUAAAUAAAUCACGAUUAUUUCAGAUCAAGGUGUGUGAGGGUGUGCUGUGACUCAAAGACGAAAUGGAAGGAAAAAUAAUUAAGGACUGAAAAUUUAAUAAAUAACUAACUCCUGUUUUUAAGAAAUAUUCAUUGAACAAUUGGGAUAUGGAUCUCGAGAU
rnacentral:lncRNA from 1 species